UGCUGCGCCCAAACUGCUUUGAAUUAAAUUUGUUACUUUAGCCCUUCCUAUGAUAAAUCAUUCCAGCAGAUAAUGUUUUUCUGCCUUGCUGUGUUUAGCUGACGUGGAGAAGAGCAUAGGAAGACUUGAGUGUCAUCCAGACUACCUGCUCCAGAAUCACCUGAGAAGCUUGUUUCAAAAGCAGAUUUCCUGUGCAAGGGUUCUACAUUUCUAACAAGGGCCCUAGUGACUCCUAUCCUUGCUAAAGUCCAAGAGAUUCACAGUCUCCUGUAGAGAGGGUGGUGCAAGCAGAUGUGAAAGAGAGUGUUUUUUGUUGCAGAUCAUGGGCAGACUGGAGAAGGAUGGCUGGAAAACUUGACUUCUCCUACUAAGAGCUGUGGGGCUGCUUUGGAAAAAAUCCACAUAUGCCAGGGGAGCAGAAGCCUUGAGAAAUUCUCACCGGAUGACUUUAUAGCAGACUUGCCAUGACAAAUA